rnacentral:rRNA from 1 species
GCCGUAGGAUGCAAUCGUUGUCCGGAUUUAUUGGGCGUAAAGAGUUCGUAGGCUGUUUGUUAAGUCUGGUGUUAAAGACUGAGGCCCAACCUCGGAAAUGCAUCGGAUACUGGCAGACUUGAGUACGGUAGAGGCGAGUGGAAUUCCCAGUGUAGCGGUGAAAUGCGUAGAUAUUGGGAAGAACACCGGUGGCGUAGGCGACUCGCUGGGCCGCAACUGACGCUGAGGAGCGAAAGCCAGGGGAGAGAAUGGG